AUGGCAGAAGAACGGGACGGCGCGGAGGAGAAGGCCGUCGUCGGAGCGGGAGAGCAGGAGGGGCAGAUCGUCGUCGCCGGAGCAGCGUACGAGGAGGAGGAGACGGGCGGCGGUCGGGGUGGCGGAGUUGGAGCCGCAGGAGGCGAGGAGGUCGGCAGGGGCGACGCGCAGUUGAUAUUCAUUCCGCCGCCGGGGUUCCGGUUCAGGCCGAGCGACGACGAGCUGAUCAGGUACUACCUGCUCCCCAAGCUGCAGGGCCGGGGCCACGCGCCCAACAGGGCCAUCAUCGAGCACAACGUGUACCAGUGCCACCCGGACGACCUCGUCGGCAAGUACAGGGGCCGGGGCGAGGGCAAGAGCUUCUACUUCCUGUCGCCGAGGGUGCGCCGGUACGACAACGGGGACCGGCCACGGCGGGACACGGAGGACGGCCGCGGCCGGUGGAAGGUGUCGACGGGCAAGAGGGACAUGCAGGAGAAGAAGGUGGCCGGCGACGGCACGACCCGCUACUGCAUGAGCGUCCUCAACUACUUCGAGAGCCCCAGAGGCGGCGGCCGCAAGUCCGAGUGGCUCAUGAGGGAGCUCACCGUCCCGGCGUACGAGAUCAAGCUCCCCAAGGACGGCGGCCCUGGCGGCAGGACGUUGGAUAGGUACGUGAUGUGCAAGAUUUACCUCAAAGACGACAAAGGCGACGACGACGAGGAGGCAGGGCCCAGCAGCGCCUCGCCGCUGCACCUGCACGGGCCGGUGGAGGGUGAUGAAGGGCCGACGGCGGAGCUUCCAAAGCUUUCGAAGAAAAUGGCGGGCAAGAGGCCCGCGGAGGACCAGCAGCUGCGGAACGCCGCCGCGAGGAAGCGGGCUCACCACUCAAAAUGCCUGCAAAUCGAGCCACCACCAGCACAAGGCAACGGCAUGCAAGCUCCGUUCAGCACGCCGGGAUACUACGGUGGAUCAGGGCAGCCCAUGCUCAUGGGGUGUCACGCUGGCACACCGAUGCCGCGGCCACUGCUGGCGUACAACAACGGCCAGGUGCACGUGCCACGGCAGCAGGUGCCGGUGAUGAUGAGACAGUCGGCGGCGUACAACGGACAGGUGACGGUGAUGGCGCGACCGCCGGCGGCGUACAACGGGAAGAUGCCGGUGAGGCAGCAGCAGGUGGCCAACGGCCAGGUGCGGCCGCCGCCGUGCCGGCCCGCAGGUAGCCCCAACGGCUAUGCUCAGAGUCUGACAAUGAUGGCGCGGCCUUCGUGCCCGGCCGGCCAAGCAGUGAACCCGCAGAUGCAGAAGCAGCCGGAGACGGAUGAGAUGCGCGCGAAGCGGGUGCUUCAACAGAACCUGGAGGAACACCUCCGGAUGCAGUCGUUCACGCAGCAGCAGCAACAGGUGAUGGCGUUCACGCAGCAGCAGCAGCAGCAGCAGCUGGCGAUGGCGUCCACGCACCAGCAGCGGCAGGCGAUGGCGUUCAUGAUGCGCCAGCAGCAGCAAUGGAGGAUGUCGUUCAUGUUGCACCAGCAGCAGCAGCAGUACCAUCAGCAGCAACAGCAACAGCACUUGGGCGGCGGCAACGCCAAUUACUAUCACCACGAAGGGGCCGUGGUCCUCCCGACGACGAGGAGUUCUCCAGGAGAGGCGGCGCUGGUAACAGCAGACGGCUCGCCGGUCAGUACGGUGGUGUCUGUGGAGGGAAACGAGGAGGGCUCCAACAACAACGGGGAUUGCAGCAGCCAUGGUCGGGAGGAGUCCGCGGCUUCGCCGGGCCGGGUGACGGCGCCGGCAUCGGCAGAGGGUGAUGGCCCCCAGCAUGCAUGA
rnacentral:rRNA from 1 species